rnacentral:tRNA from 1 species
AAAAAUUUAGUUAAAUUAUAACGUUAGUUUGUCAAACUAGAAUUAUCUUCAGAUAAUUUUUA